ACGGGAGGCAGCAGUGGGGAAUAUUGGACAAUGGGGGAAACCCUGAUCCAGCGACGCCGCGUGAGUGAAGAAGUAUUUCGGUAUGUAAAGCUCUAUCAGCAGGGAAGAUGAUGACGGUACCUGACUAAGAAGCCCCGGCUAACUACGUGCCAGCAGCCGCGGUAAUACGUAGGGGGCAAGCGUUAUCCGGAUUUACUGGGUGUAAAGGGAGUGUAGGCGGCUGUGCAAGUCAGAAGUGAAAGCCCGGGGCUCAACCCCGGGACUGCUUUUGAAACUGCAUAGCUUGAGUGCAGGAGAGGUAAGCGGAAUUCCUAGUGUAGCGGUGAAAUGCGUAGAUAUUAGGAAGAACACCGGUGGCGAAGGCGGCUUACUGGACUGAGACUGACGCUGAGGCUCGAAAGCGUGGGGAGCAAACAGGAUUAGAUACCCUGGUA
rnacentral:rRNA from 2 species